UACGAAGGGGGGCUAGCGUUGCUCGGAAUGACUGGGCGUAAAGGGCGCGUAGGCGGCUUGCACAGUCAGGCGUGAAAUUCCUGGGCUCAACCUGGGAAUUGCAUUCGAGACUGCGUAGCUAGGGUGCGGAAGAGGGAAGCGGAAUUUCCGGUGUAGCGGUGAAAUGCGUAGAGAUCGGGAAGAACAUCAGUGGCGAAGGCGGCCUGCUGGGCUGUUGCUGACGCUGGAGGCG
rnacentral:rRNA from 1 species